AAAGGAAUUGACGGGGGCCCGCACAAGCAGCGGAGCAUGUGGUUUAAUUCGAAGCAACGCGAAGAACCUUACCAGGGCUUGACAUCCCUCUGCCGGGUACAGAGAUGUAUCUUUCCUUCGGGACGGAGGAGACAGGUGGUGCAUGGUUGUCGUCAGCUCGUGUCGUGAGAUGUUGGGUUAAGUCCCGCAACGAGCGCAACCCCUAUCUUUAGUUACCAACAGUAUAAGCUGGGGACUCUAGAGAGACUGCCGGGGACAACUCGGAGGAAGGUGGGGACGACGUCAAAUCAUCAUGCCCCUUAUGUCCUGGGCUACACACGUGCUACAAUGGUCCGUAACAGAGGGCAGCGAAGCGGUAACGCGGAGCGAAUCCCAGAAACCGGAUCCCAGUUCGGAUUGUGGGCUGCAACUCGCCCACAUGAAGCCGGAGUUGCUAGUAAUCGCGAAUCAGCAUGUCGCGGUGAAUACGUUCCCGGGCCUUGUACACACCGCCCGU
rnacentral:rRNA from 1 species